rnacentral:rRNA from 1 species
AUUGAACGCUGGCGGCAGGCCUAACACAUGCAAGUCGAACGGUAACAGGAAGCAGCUUGCUGCUUCGCUGACGAGUGGCGGACGGGUGAGUAAUGUCUGUGAAGCUGCCUGAUGGAGGGGGAUAACUACUGGAAACGGUAGCUAAUACCGCAUAAUGUCGCAAGACCAAAGAGGGGGACCUUCGGGCCUCUUGCCAUCGGAUGUGCCCAGAUGGGAUUAGCUUGUUGGUGGGGUAACGGCUCACCAAGGCGACGAUCCCUAGCUGGUCUGAGAGGAUGACCAGCCACACUGGGACUGAGACACGGUCCAGACUCCUACGGGAGGCAGCAGUGGGGAAUAUUGCACAAUGGGCGCAAGCCUGAUGCAGCCAUGCCGCGUGAAUGAAGAAGGCCUUCGGGUUGUAAAGUACUUUCAGCGGGGAGGAAGGGAGUAAAGUUAAUACCUUUGCUCAUUGACGUUACCCGCAGAAGAAGCACCGGCUAACUCCGUG